UUCUCUCAGUAGUACUUUUUCCAAAUGCUCUUAUGGCAGCCAUUCUGCAAAUAAUGAUUUGAGGACUUUCUGAGUCAGAGAUUUUGCCACUAUGUUUAUUACAAUUUUAUUGUACAAUAGUGUAAUAUAAUUGUGUUAUACACGAUGGCUAUUUAAAAUAUACACCAUAUGCAGUUAUAUAUGCACUAUUGCAUAUAACACACUGAAUUCACAUUUUACUUUGAAUGCAGUUUUCUUUCAUGAAUUUGUCCACUCACUUUUUGUAGUAUAUAAACUUAUAUCCUCCUCCAUACAUUUCUGCAGUUAAGACUUCCACAGUUCGACUGAAUACUACAUGAAAAUUCAAACCCUUUGUUUGCUUUUAUUUAGUCAUCUGCUACUUUCAUUCAGUGUUCUCUUGCUUUUGUGUUGGGUGAGGCAUCUAAUAACUAUUUAUAAUUGUCUUUUCUAACCAAUGAUUUUCAUAGACCUUUCUACCCUCUUGGUUAUCUCCCUGCUAGUCUAUUCACUUCUCUAUUUAUUAUUUAGCAGUUCCAUACUUUUGAUUAUCCUUAUCAUUCAUCUCUGUACUUCCAGUUUUGCUGUCUGCCUUGAGAUAGAAGAACCAGAAGUGUGAGCUCUUCCUAGAGGCAUAUUGUGAAUAUUAUUUUCUCUUCAGUUUGCUAUUGCUUAAUAUUUUUAACAUACUGGUUGCUUUUUGCACUGUGACUUUUGAGCUGUCAUUCUCACUGAGUAUGCUUUGCAGCUUUUUUCCUGCAGUUGAGUCACGGAGCUUAUAUUUUUAUGUUUGUUAGCUUUUUUUUUUUUUUUUUUUGGGGGGGGGUGGGGUUGUUUGUUUGUUUUUUCAGCUGUACACCUUUUAUUUACAUUGAAUUUCAGCUGGUCCCUCAUGAGAAAUGAGACAUGAAGUACGGAAUGACAAUUCCAGCAAAGAAAUUCAAGUUAAAACACUACGAAGAACUUUCCAGUGCAAGAUGGAUCUUCAAGACCCCACCUGGAUAAGUAAAGGAACUGCAACCUUAUUUGAAAUAAAGGCUUCAGCUGCAGAAGACAUUGUCAAUAAAUAAAUGGCUUCUAGGUCCAAAUUCUGCUUCGAGUGAUAUUUGCAUAGAUAUGUGGAAAUUGGCAGGAUUGACUUUGCUCUUACCAAUUUCACCAUGGCUGCUCAAGCUUUAAAUCAGAGCUGAAUUUGGCAAUUAACAGUCUAUCAUACUAGAUAGUAGACAAAUAUAUAUAGACAUAGGUUCACACUUUUAAAUUAUUUUUUUAAACUACCAAAACAUUAGGACCUAUUAAUAUAGAUAAGAGGGUAAACUGUAACA
rnacentral:lncRNA from 1 species